AGGUCGUUGAGCGAAACCUCCAGCUGCUGCCCACCGAACCCCACGAUGAACCUUCAGCUGUCGUUCUGCCUCUCAGUGCUGGUGAGCUGAGCAGCGCCUGGUACAAUAUUCAGUUCCUCUCUUCAGACUCCUUCAUCUCACAGUCUGGGUCAGUGGACAUUAGGAGAUACUUCCUCGACAUUAUAAGGGGUCCAGAGCAUCGGUUCUGCUGGUUUAAAACCACCCAAACCUGCUACUCUGAUCAGGGGGGAUUCUCUUAUCAUGUCAACACAGAGCAUUGUUUCACUAGCAUACAGUGUGUAUCUGGGAGGGUUACAGAAUUCAUUUCCUGUAACCGCAUGGAGACUGUGUCGAGGAAAACAAUCUUUCCAGCCUAAGUCAAAAAAAAAACUUCAGAGACAGAGAUGUCAAAAAACAACCCUUGAAAAAGGUGACCUGCACGUACCUGUUUGGGGGAGCAGAUGAUCAGGUGGACACCUCCACUUGGGUUCAGGAUCACGAAGAUAACUCUCCCUACAGCGAUUCAGAGAGUGAACCAGACUCUGAGGAGAAAGAGGAGACCCUUAAGUUUUUGGAGUUUAGAGGUGCCCUUUAUUAGCUACCAUCUAUCAGAGAGAGGGG
ensembl:lncRNA